AACGAACGCUGGCGGCAGGCUUAACACAUGCAAGUCGAACGCCCCGCAAGGGGAGUGGCAGACGGGUGAGUAACGCGUGGGAAUCUACCCAGUUCUACGGAAUAACCCAGGGAAACUUGGACUAAUACCGUAUACGCCCUACGGGGGAAAGAUUUAUCGGAAUUGGAUGAGCCCGCGUUGGAUUAGCUAGUUGGUGGGGUAAUGGCCUACCAAGGCGACGAUCCAUAGCUGGUCUGAGAGGAUGAUCAGCCACACUGGGACUCAGACACGGCCCAGACUCCUACGGGAGGCAGCAGUGGGGAAUAUUGGACAAUGGGCGCAAGCCUGAUCCAGCCAUGCCGCGUGAGUGAUGAAGGCCUUAGGGUUGUAAAGCUCUUUCAGUGGGGAAGAUAAUGACGGUACCCACAGAAGAAGCCCCGGCUAACUUCGUGCCAGCCGCCGCAGUAAUAC
rnacentral:rRNA from 1 species